GCCACUGCAAUUCGUUAAUCCCUUUGGAAAAUUGCUUAAGCCUGGCAUGUUUUGUAAUGAACUUUAUCUCUUCACUACCAAAAGUCGUAAAAAGGAACUUCAGUGAGGAAAGAAACACAAUUGAUAAUUGAAUAUUUCAAAGAGAUCAGCAUUUUAGAAAACUGGCUUUUUGGAUUGGCUCACAGUUUUCCUACUUUUCUGUCCUGUCAGUUGAGAAGAAUACAUUUCAAGAGAUGCUCUUGGAAAACACGUUUGAUGGAGAGGUUGAUUUUUGUAACCUGUAUGCCGUAGUCAGAAGAGCCGUCCUCUGGCAGAUAUGUGAAAGAACUGCCCAUGAGGAGCGAGAGGCUACUUCGCACACCUCGCAGCUCAGGUCCCCGGAGACGGCUUUACAGGCACACAAGCCCCUCUCCCAAGCCAUCUGCCAGGAGCCCCAUGAGGAACACAGCACAGCGCCUGCAUCAGAAGCCCAUGGGUUUGCCUAUCACAUGUCUUGUUUUCUCCUGAUCCGUGGCUCACAGGCUCAGUGUGACCCAACCUCCUAGAUUUCCCCAUCAGUGCUAUUUGCAGUGCCCCCAAGCACUUUCCUCCACUCCAGUCCCUGAGCGCAUGCCAACGGCCCUAUUUUCAGCCACCCCUCUCCAUGCCUCUUGUCUGUCUCUAGCUGACAAGCAGAUUAUCUCUUCUGUCCACUUUGUUUGCCAAUGUACUUUGGCACCAUUGAAUUCCAACACAUGAAGUAAACUGAACUGUGUACAACGCUGAGCACACACGUGGUUUGGAGAGCAGCCCCUUGUCAGGAUCCAAAAUGUUCCCAAGCCUUGUUGAUAUUUGGGUCACUGCAGAUCUCUGAGUCCCCCUUCCUUUUUAAUCUUCUUCCCCUCAACUCAUUCUCAAUUUCUCUCUCUGAAACCACCUGUGAACACACUUAUGCAUUCAAAUAGAUGCAUACUGUUCAUGCUUAUAUUUUUCUGUAACCGUCAUAUCUAAUAAAUACUUAUCAUCCAGGAAAAAAAAAAAAAAAAAAAAAAAAAAAAAAAAAAAA
rnacentral:lncRNA from 1 species